rnacentral:misc_RNA from 1 species
AACCAAGAACAUACCCAAGAAGGCAGCACCAGCCAACCGCGAAGGCAAAGCAAGAGCUGGAAGGAUUAUGAGCAACGCGUCAGGUUGUAGCCCGUGGACAAUGCCAGUUGCAAAGGUUGCGAACCCCACUUUCUUCUUCUUCUUCCCGAUAACUGGAGUGUUAAUGUCUUCGUAGACACUAACAUCACUAUCACCAUUUUCCAGGGGAACAAACUGGGAAUUAACUUCAGAUGCUUCUUUA